GGGCUGGCUUUAGCUCAGCGGUUACUUCGCGUGUCAUCCAAACCACCUCUCUGGGUGGUUCGAGACCCGCGGGCGCUCUCCAGCUCUCUU
rnacentral:vault_RNA from 1 species